AUGCAUAACCCUCUAUCUUUACAUCUGCUCCAUACACAUAACCCUCCAUCACGACCAGUCCCUCCGUCAACCAUUCCGGCCACACAACCACCGAUUCCGCGACGUACUCCAUGCAUAUCAGUAACUCCCUCCAUAGCAGUAAAUUUCUUCUUCGGCUCCAACGACAAUCAACGUGAACGCGCUGAUGAAGAAAGCCAAAUUUAA